UACGUAGGGGGCUAGCGUUGUCCGGAAUCAUUGGGCGUAAAGCGCGUGUAGGCGGUCCGGUAAGUCCGCUGUGAAAGUCGGGGGCUCAACCCUCGGAUGCCGGUGGAUACUGUUGGGCUUGAGUACGGAAGAGGCGAGCGGAAUUCCUGGUGUAGCGGUGAAAUGCGCAGAUAUCAGGAGGAACACCAAUUGCGAAGGCAGCUCGCUGGGACGUUACUGACGCUGAGACGCGAAAGCGUGGGGAGCAAACAGG
rnacentral:rRNA from 1 species